GACGAACGCUGGCGGCGUGCUUAACACAUGCAAGUCGAACGGAAAGGCCCUGCUUUUGUGGGGUGCUCGAGUGGCGAACGGGUGAGUAACACGUGAGUAACCUGCCCUUGACUUUGGGAUAACUUCAGGAAACUGGGGCUAAUACCGUAUAGGAGCUCCUGCUGCAUGGUGGGGGUUGGAAAGUUUCGGCGGUUGGGGAUGGACUCGCGGCUUAUCAGCUUGUUGGUGAGGUAGUGGCUUACCAAGGCUUUGACGGGUAGCCGGCCUGAGAGGGUGACCGGCCACAUUGGGACUGAGAUACGGCCCAGACUCCUACGGGAGGCAGCAGUGGGGAAUAUUGCACAAUGGGCGGAAGCCUGAUGCAGCAACGCCGCGUGCGGGAUGACGGCCUUCGGGUUGUAAACCGCUUUCGCCUGUGACGAAGCGUGAGUGACGGUAAUGGGUAAAGAAGCACCGGCUAACUACGUG
rnacentral:rRNA from 1 species